UACGUAGGGGGCGAGCGUUGUCCGGAUUUACUGGGCGUAAAGGGUGAGUAGGCGGUUAUAUAUGUCAGAUGUAAAAGGCACAGGCUUAACUUGUGUAAGCAUUUGAGACUGUAUAACUUGAGUGCAGGAGAGGUAAGUGGAAUUCCUAGUGUAGCGGUGAAAUGCGUAGAUAUUAGGAGGAACACCAGUGGCGAAGGCGACUUACUGGACUGUAACUGACGCUGAGUCACGAAAGCGUGGGUAGCAAAC
rnacentral:rRNA from 1 species